UACUCCUACGGGAGGCAGCAGUAAGGAAUAUUGGUCAAUGGGCGCAAGCCUGAACCAGCCAUGCCGCGUGCAGGAAGACGGCCCUAUGGGUUGUAAACUGCUUUUGUCAGGGAAUAAACCCCCGCUCGUGAGCGGGGCUG
rnacentral:rRNA from 1 species